rnacentral:rRNA from 1 species
CCUACGUGCGGCAGCAGUGAGGAAUCUUGGUCAAUGGCCGGAAGGCUGAACCAGCCCUGCCGCGUGAAGGUCAGUGCCCUAUGGGCGUUAAACUUCUUUUGUGCGGGAGCAAUAAUGGUCACGUGUGGCCAGACGAGAGUACCGUACGAAUAAGCAUCGGCUAACUCCGUGCCAGCAGCCGCGGUAAUACGGGGGAUGCAAGCGUUAUCCGGAUUUAUUGGGUUUAAAGGGUGGGUAGGCUGUGAGGUAAGUCAGCGGUGAAAUGCCCCCGCUCAACGGGGUGAAGUGCCAUUGAUACUGCCUUGCUGGAAUGCGGAUGCCGUGGGAGGAAUGGGUGGUGUAGCGGUGAAAUGCAUAGAUAUCACACAGAACACCGAUUGCGAAGGCAUCUCACGAAUCCGCGAUUGACGCUGAUGCACGAAAGCGUGGGGAUCAAACAGGAUUAGAUACCCUGGUAGUC